rnacentral:rRNA from 2 species
UGAAGAGUUUGAUCAUGGCUCAGAUUGAACGCUGGCGGCAGGCCUAACACAUGCAAGUCGAACGGUAACAGGAAGCAGCUUGCUGCUUUGCUGACGAGUGGCGGACGGGUGAGUAAUGUCUGGGAAACUGCCUGAUGGAGGGGGAUAACUACUGGAAACGGUGGCUAAUACCGCAUAACGUCGCAAGACCAAAGAGGGGGACCUUCGGGCCUCUUGCCAUCAGAUGUGCCCAGAUGGGAUUAGCUUGUUGGUGAGGUAACGGCUCACCAAGGCGACGAUCCCUAGCUGGUCUGAGAGGAUGACCAGCCACACUGGAACUGAGACACGGUCCAGACUCCUACGGGAGGCAGCAGUGGGGAAUAUUGCACAAUGGGCGCAAGCCUGAUGCAGCCAUGCCGCGUGUAUGAAGAAGGCCUUCGGGUUGUAAAGUACUUUCAGCGGGGAGGAAGGUGUUGUGGUUAAUAACCGCAGCAAUUGACGUUACCCGCAGAAGAAGCACCGGCUAACUCCGUGCCA